CCUUUCAAGAAGGGACCUCUUCCUAGGCAUGAUUCCUGAAUGACAAAUAUAUCCUAAAUCAAAACCCCAAUUCACAAUAACUGAAAUAAAUACUAGGUUGCUGCAAUAAACAAAAGAGAGAUAAAUUCACAAUAAUUAUAUUUGAUAGAAUACCCUAAACUCUGAACAAGCAAAAACAGUAAACCUGAACAUAUGGCCAGUAGCCUAAAAAAUCAUCAUCAUAUAUGCAGUUUGCACCAUGAAGAAACGAACAGAGGGCAAGAUCCAGCAAUAGUUUUAAUCUAAAAACUUCUAUACAUUUGUAAAAAACACAAAAAAAAGGAACUGGAGAAGAUCAGAAACGUGGUUUCUGUAGGGCUGCGAGGAUCACCUGGAG
rnacentral:lncRNA from 1 species